rfam:Picea glauca, whole genome shotgun sequence.
AUGUACAUUCCUACAUCAUAGCGUUAAUGCAUCGUAUCCCAUUAGAACUUUGCACUUAAGUUCUCUUAGUCUAAUGUAAUACUGAGAUGGGUGACCGCUCGGGAAGUCUUACUGUUUUACAUG